rnacentral:rRNA from 1 species
GACGAACGCUGGCGGCGUGCUUAACACAUGCAAGUCGAACGAAGUGGCGAACGGGUGAGUAACGCGUAAUCAACCUGCCCUUCAGAGGGGGACAACAGUUGGAAACGACUGCUAAUACCGCAUACUGAAGGAGGGGAUUGCGUCUGAUUAGCUAGUUGGAGGGGUAACGGCCCACCAAGGCGAUGAUCAGUAGCCGGUCUGGGGGGAUGAACGGCCAAAUUGGGAAUGGGACAAGGCCCAGACUCCUACGGGAGGCAGCAGUGGGGAAACUUCCGCAAUGGACGAAAGUCUGACGGAGCAACGCCGCGGGAGUGAUGACGGCCUUCGGGUUGGAAAGCUCUGUUAAUCGGGACGCGGUACCGGAAGAGAAAGCAACGGCUAACUACGUGCCAGCAGCCGCGGUAAUAC